rnacentral:lncRNA from 1 species
UGCAUUUCAGUUCCCCGAGGAAAAUUCAGGGAAAAUUAGGGACAGCCUGCAAGCGCACUGUGAAGCCGUGUUCGGACCCCGAAACGAGUAAGGACCCCUCACCCUAUUUCCUAUCACGGUUUUAAAGUCCAAUAAAUGAUAAAACGGUAUUUCAUGAAUCAACGAAUGUGUGAAAUUGCUUAAGGUCACUAAUGGAGCCCGAGUCUAGUGUGUUUGUUAGUUAACUGUUAUUUGGCCUGUUUUACAGUUUUAAAUGCAGCAUGAGGUUCGAUGUUUUCAUUUUA